rnacentral:rRNA from 1 species
AGAGUUUGAUCCUGGCUCAGGAUGAACGCUGGCGGCGUGCCUAACACAUGCAAGUCGAACGAAGCACCUUACCGGAUUCUUCGGAUGAAAGUUUGGUGACUGAGUGGCGGACGGGUGAGUAACGCGUGGGUAACCUGCCCUGUACAGGGGGAUAACAGCUGGAAACGGCUGCUAAUACCGCAUAAGCGCACGAGGAGACAUCUCCUUGUGUGAAAAACUCCGGUGGUACAGGAUGGGCCCGCGUCUGAUUAGCUGGUUGGCAGGGUAACGGCCUACCAAGGCAACGAUCAGUAGCCGGUCUGAGAGGAUGAACGGCCACAUUGGAACUGAGACACGGUCCAAACUCCUACGGGAGGCAGCAGUGGGGAAUAUUGCACAAUGGGGGAGACCCUGAUGCAGCAACGCCGCGUGAGUGAAGAAGUAUUUCGGUAUGUAAAGCUCUAUCAGCAGGGAAGAUAAUGACGGUACCUGACUAAGAAGCUCCGGCUAAAUACGUGCCAGCAGCCGCGGUAAUACGUAUGGAGCAAGCGUUAUCCGGAUUUACUGGGUGUAAAGGGUGCGUAGGUGGCAGUGCAAGUCAGAUGUGAAAGGCCGGGGCUCAACCCCGGAGCUGCAUUUGAAACUGCUCGGCUAGAGUACAGGAGAGGCAGGCGGAAUUCCUAGUGUAGCGGUGAAAUGCGUAGAUAUUAGGAGGAACACCAGUGGCGAAGGCGGCCUGCUGGACUGUUACUGACACUGAGGCACGAAAGCGUGGGGAGCAAACAGGAUUAGAUACCCUGGUAGUCCACGCCGUAAACGAUGAAUGCUAGGUGUAGGAGGUAUCGACCCCUUCUGUGCCGGAGUUAACGCAAUAAGCAUUCCGCCUGGGGAGUACGGCCGCAAGGCUGAAACUCAAAGGAAUUGACGGGGGCCCGCACAAGCGGUGGAGUAUGUGGUUUAAUUCGACGCAACGCGAAGAACCUUACCAGGGCUUGACAUUGAGUGAAAGGACAAGAGAUUGUCCCCUCUCUUCGGAGACACGAAAACAGGUGGUGCAUGGCUGUCGUCAGCUCGUGUCGUGAGAUGUUGGGUUAAGUCCCGCAACGAGCGCAACCCUUAUCCUUUGUUGCCAGCACGUUAUGGUGGGAACUCAAAGGAGACUGCCGCGGACAACGCGGAGGAAGGCGGGGAUGACGUCAAGUCAUCAUGCCCCUUAUGUCCUGGGCUACACACGUACUACAAUGGGAUGGACAGAGAGCAGCGAAGCCGCGAGGCCAAGCGAACCCCAUAAACCAUCUCCCAGUUCGGAUUGCAGGCUGCAACCCGCCUGCAUGAAGUUGGAAUCGCUAGUAAUCGCAGGUCAGCAUACUGCGGUGAAUACGUUCCCGGGCCUUGUACACACCGCCCGUCACACCACGGAAGUCAUUCACACCCGAAGCCGGCAGGCUAACCUUUUGGAGGCAGCCGUCUAAGGUGGGGGCGAUGACUGGGGUGAAGUCGUAACAAGGUA